GGGAAGGUGACUUGGCCGCAUUUCCAACAUUAAAAUUUAAAGCGAGUUGCAGCAUCCUCCUACGCCGUAGGUAGGGCCGGGGGGGCCGGGGGCUGCGGGAGGAGGAGUUUGCGCGGCCGCCUCUUCCUCAGGGAUGCUCUGGGAAAGCUCCAGCACAAAGGAGCGGCGCGGAGGGCAGAAGCGAGCGGAGCCGGCGCCCCCCAGCCCCAACCCGGUCUCCGGGAGCAGAAUCCUCACCAAGAAUAGGGCUCCUGCCAGGUAAAUGGAUUCUUGCCUGAUUUUCAAUGCCCCUGGGAAGAAUUGUAGCCAAAAUGCUGGUUUACUGCUUUGUCUCCUAAUCCCCGUUUUCUCCUAAAGCUGGGGAUCCUGGGUGGGGAUUAGAGGCGAGGCUGGGGCCAACACUCCUGGGGCACAGCACAGCCCCUCCUUCAGAGUUAACCUGACAGAUGCUCCUCUUGCGGAGCCAUUUUCUCUCCCUCAUUGUCUUGCAGCCUUUUGUGUGUGUGAGUAGGUCCUGCCCAGGGCCCCAGGAGGAGCCCAGAAAUAAUCAGGUUUUCUGACGUUCUGGGUUUUCAGGGAGCCUUUCACACCCUCACCCUCCCUUCUCCCAGGCUGCCCAGCCUCAGAGCUGCAGACAAAGGUGGUAGUGCCUGGCACUGCUGCAGCAGCACGGGAGCCUGGGAUGUGCCAGAGCCUAGGCUCUGCUGGAUGGCAGCAAGGGUCAGGCAGCGCUGGCAGGGCCCAGGGCAAAGGUAUUUGGCCACCCUGCUGGGAGCUGGGGGACUGGGGUGCCCAGAUGCCACAUCCCACAGAUCAUCUCUCUGGGCACAGGCAGCUCAUGGCAAUGCCGUGCCUGCUGUGGCCUUAUCUCCCUGCUCCUGCCUGCUGUGGAGCCUGUGCUCCUCUUUACUCCAAGGGGGGGUCUAGCCCCUGUUUAACCCAGGUGCUCAGCAGCACCGUAUGUGCCACCCACCCUGUGUGGCAGAGGAAGCUCUGGCUCAUGGCUGGCAAUCACUGCUCACUGUGCCCCAGACAGAGUGUUUAGCUGAGCCCUGCCUGCACAAAAUUGUUUUCCCUCCCUGUCUCCUGGGAUGUGUUUCAUUCCCGGGUGAGAGAGGCCAUCCCACAGCCAUCAUGUCCCGCCUGCCUCACCACAGGCACCUCCCGCUCUGAUCCCACCUCCCGCUCAGAUCCAGGCAGGGGAUCCAUUUGUCAGAUGCUCGAUGGCAUCUCCGGAGCUCAUUCCCGCAGCUGGGUUGCAAAUGCUGCCUGGACAUGCUGUCCCCAUGGGAGGGACUGUCCUGCCAGCAGUGCCUGCGGCAUGUGGUGACAAUGAACAGCAGGAAGCUGGAGCAGCUUCACAGCUGAACAUGCAGAGUCAUCACGGCCCAGCUCCCCCAGGACCUGCUGCAGUCCUGGCUUUUCCAGGUGGGCAGGGCAGGAGCAGGGCAGCAGCAGGAGAAAGGCAGGAGCAGGAGCAGAGCAGGAGCAGGAACCGGAGCAGGUCAGAAACAGGAGCAGGGCAGAAGCAGGAACAGGGCAGGCAGUGUGGCUGGCUGCAGACAUGGGCUGGCUGCUGGCACCAGCCACGUGUCCCUGUAUCCCUGUGGAGGUGGAGUAGCAUCCACCACAGUGCAGUUGUGACUGCCAGCUGUCCCAGUACAACUGGUGCCUGCGAAACCACAGGGUCCCAGUGACCCAGCUUAACCACAGGGCAGGAGCAGAGCUGGCAGAGGCAGCAGUGGCAGUGGCAGUGAAAGUCAGUCCCUGCCCCCAGUGCAGGGGUUCCCACACCAGGUAGGGACAGUCUGGGGCAUUGCCACCAUUUCUGAUGUGGUGGUUCCUGGUGCCCCCCUGUGCCUGGUGGUGGGUCUAGCUCCCCGCUCUUCAAGGGGAAAGGGACAGGAGGAUCCCUGCCCAGCCCUCCUGCCAGGCUCCUGCCAGCUUGGCUCGGCUCUGCCUGAGGACGGUGCCGUGUGUCUCUCCCUUGCUGCGUUGGUUGUUUCUUUUGCAGCUGCUAAUGACUGACCUGAAGUCUGUUCACACAGUCCCCUCGCGGCCUCCACAGCGCAGAGCCACACAGGAUGGGGGGACAUUGCACGGCACUUGCAUAGCUGGUGACCACAGUGCCACCACCCCAGAGGCACGGCCUCAGCUCCUGCCUGGCCAGACCGGCUGUGCCUGGAGAGGAGCCAGGCUCGGGGAGCUGACAUCGCCACCUGCACACAAUGCCAGAGCCGGGCUGGCCCCAGCAGAGCAGCCUGGUGCUCAGUGCCAUGGGCCAGAGCCAUGAGCCUGGCCACUGCGGGGGACACAGCCGAGGACACGGCGCUGGGGACACCUGAGGACACGGGUCUGCACGUGCUCGCGGUUUUCCUGCAAGGUGCUGGGGUCCCCUUCCCUUCCGCUGCUCCACCCCAGCCAUGGGCAGGAUGAGACCCAUCCCCUUCCCCCAGUGUAGGGAGAGGGAGAAGAGGAAGGCUACAGGGAUGGAGCUGUGCCAGCUCCUCAAUGAGACACAAUGGCCAGAGCACAAAGGGAUUCUGGUUGUCCCCACUGAUCCUGCCUGUCCUUCUGUCUGUUGGUGAAGUCCUGGUGCUUUCUGCCCUGGAACUGCCUUGCAGUGCUAGUGUUGUGUUCCAGCAGGACCCUGUCUCCCCUGCCCUGUGGAGCAGCCUGGAGUGUGUGGAGGGACAUGGGCAGUGAAUCCUCCUCCCAUGACCUCUGUGGGGGUGGCAGUGGCCCAGUAAGUGGCUGGGCUGUGGCUGCACCGAGCAGUCACUCCAGCCCCUGUCUCUACACAGGAGGGAGAGCUGGGAAUGAGGUGGGCUGGGGGCUGAGGGCAGACACAGCUUGUGGCAGGUGUUAGAGCCUUGAAGUCCAAGCUGGAAAAGCAUCCUCUUGGGGACCAGCAGGAGUUAGUGCUGCAGGAGGAGGUAACCCAGAGGGACAUGGGGCAGAGGGUGUCCUGGGUGCCCCACCACAGCCCUGUUUCUCAGGGCACAGUGCUCUUACUGCCCCUCAGAGCACUGCUUAGCUCCAUGGAGAGGCAGCUUCUGACAGGGAAGGGGUAAGCUGUGGACCACUUUUCCUCUGCUCCAUGGCAUGGUUUUCCCUGCUGAAUCUCUUCCUCCCUUCACAGGCAAUGGGAGCUCGGUGGAGACCCAGAGCAGCUCUCUGCAGAAGCCCUGCUCUUGCAGAGCUGCCCGUAGCCUUGCCCCAGGCAUGGUCAGUGAUGCUUUCACCCCUUUCCUCUCUGCUUCUUCCAGCUCCUUUAGUGCCCUGACCUGAGUCACUGCCUUGCACUGCUGGGACUGUCUCCUCCAUGCAUCCAGUCUCCCACCCUCACCAGUACCAGGAGUGGGAAACACACUCUGUGUGGGGACACACUGCUUGGGGCAUUUGGUACCUCACUGGCCUGGAUGAGAGGGGCAGAUCCUUGCAAAGCAUUUAACUCAGAACAGGUUACAUCAUGCAGGGUAAACCCUCCAAUAACACCUUCCCAAAUCUCGAUGUGGUAGCAACGCCCCAAAACGCCUCCUGCUCUUGUGAGCCAGAGCCCUGCUGCUCCCUGGGCCCGGCUCUGCAUGCUGCCGCUGCGCUCCGACAUUAACCUACUAACCCGCUGGGACCCUGUGCCCUCACCGGGGGCUGGCACAGCCCCUGGCACACGGACUAACCCACUAACUGGCCCCAGUGCAUGCCCUACUAACCCACAGCCAGCCCUGCCUCACACCCACUAACUGUGGCAGCAGUGCUGCCUUUAAAGGGGAACGGAAAAGCUGGGAAAGGAGGUUUGGAAGUGCCAGGUGUCAGUGCCAGGCUGUACAGGCAGGGACGGGCAAGGGCAGCCCCAGCUGUGGGCAGGAGAGGGGAUUGGCAGCCCCUGCCCAGCAUUGGGCCGUGUCCAUCAAGCUUUGCCUAUACAGGCAGCCCCAGCCCCAGCUGUGAGCAGGAGGGAGGACUGGCAGCCCCUGCCCAUGCAAGCAGCCCCUGUUCUGGGCAGGAGAGGGGACCAGCAGUCCCUGCCCCAGGCAGGAGAGGGAACCAGCAGCCCCUGCCCUGGGCAGCCCUUGCCAGCACGAGGAGAGGGUUUCUCCUCGCACGCCCUGCCCGGCUCUGCCCGUGAGCCUGUUGCUGACUAGGAGCCUAAAACGGUUUUAUCAGCAGAAGCUUUUCAGUUCCUUUUUAAGCCAGUAGAUCUCUGUUACUAACACAUUCCUGAACUGAAUUAAACAAACUAACCAUUGCUGCUUUUCUCUUCAUUUCUCUUCCAGUGUGUGUGUCCUAAGGCAGACCAGUGCCCUGCUUCUGUUACUAACCUGUACUUCUGUUAGCACUGUACUAAUCGUUCCUGACCUGUUUCUCUCUUGCUACUAACCAACUCUCUUUGCACUUUGCCUCUCGGAUGCUAUUUGCCAUGACAAGUGACGGUGGCUCCUCCUGGACUUCUGGUUAUCAACCUGCAGCACCCCAAUUUUCAGUGCUGCUGAGCAUUCCUGGCUCCCAUUCGGUGCGAUGGGAAGGAAGAUGCCUUUACUGGAGGGUUUUGAAAAUUUCCCCAUUUGCCUUCUGUUUUCCGAGAAAUUUCAUGUGGCACAAUGAGGAAAAGAGGCUGAGAGGCAGUAGGACAAUACAAAACCAUUAAUAAUGACCAGUAAUGGCUGUAAAGAUCCAGCAAACCCAGAGAGAUUCAGCCACAGAGUGAUGCUAUUGCCCUUGAGCCCCACCAGAGCCUGAGUUUGGAGCUCUCCUGGGGCCCCACGUCAUCUGUCAUGGGGAAUGGUCUUGUGCUGCUCCCUGAAUUGGCUCUCGGACACUCCCAGGCUCCUCUCUUCACUCCCUUUGUCUUUCCACAGUUUAUCUUGUGCCUGGUGCAUGUGGAAGCUGUUGCCAGCAGCGUGGGCGUGACUAACCAUACCUGUGUGUGACAGCUGGGCUGGUAAUGAGCCAAGGGCAGGAGGGGGCAGUGGGUGUCAGAGGGGGCUCUGCCAUCAGGCUGUGAUGGAGGCACGGCCUGGGCUUUGCUUUCUGUUUGUCUGUCAGUUGGAGGAACGUUCCCAACCUCUCAGGGGUCCUGCCAAGGUGAAGGCUCCAGGACCUGGCCCAUCAGUGUAGGUUUGGACAUGGGCUGGUGACCCAGGGCCAGGCACCACCAGUGUUCAGGACUGCCAUGACCAGCGGGGCAAAGCCAAGCCCUGUGUGCCAGCAGAGGAUGGUGGCCCUGUGCUGCUGGUAGGCAUGGGCUGGCUCAUGAGGACACCCCAGACCGUGGCUGCUGUGGGGACACAGCAGUGUGGGGCUGUCCCCACCAAGGGUCAGGGCAGCUCUGUCUGCGGGUUACAGAUCCAGGCAGCAUCCAGCUCUGGCUGCUCUUUCUUGGCUUUGCUUUAUGCUCACUAACCCCAUGGUCUCCCCAGUCACUAUCACUGGCUGGUGUCACCAUCACCCCACAGCAGCUCCUGCCUUCAAUGGAAGGCAGAACCAGAGUGGGGUCCCCCUGGAGGGCUGGGUCCACCCCCUAAUGCUGCCACUACUCCUGGGCAUCCCAGCUCUGCACUGACACAAGCGUGCUCCUGCAGCUGGGGUGUCACUGGGCUCUCAGGCUGAUGGGGGUCCCCUCCUCACCCAGCUCCGUGUCUGUCCAACCUACACCUUAUUCCACUAACCAUGUGCCUACCCUUCCCCCACACAGCUGGCACCAGGGUGGGUUUUUGGGCUGAUGCUCCUAUGUUUGAUGGAAGGGGGACACAGGGCCCUGCUGUGGGCUGGGGGCAGAGGAGGAAGCAGGGCUGUGGGGACAGGAAUGGGCUAGGAGGACAAGCCAGGUUGGGCACAGGGUGGGCGGGUUCAGGGCUCCUGCACAGGUAGGAGCACCACCAGCACUGGGCUGGGGUUGUCAGAGCCCACCAUUGUGAGGGACUCUCCUCCCUGCCCCAUAACCCCUCUUUCUGCUCCAGAGCAGCCCUCCUGCACCCAGGGGGACCUCCCCAGGCUGGUCACUGAGGGGAGUCAUGGGACCACAAGUCACCCUGAUAGCUAAGAGGAUGCACUGGGCAAAUGUGGCCCUCCAGGGGCAGCCAAUGCUGCCCACAGACCCGUCAGUGGGGACAGGCCACUUUGGGUAGCUGCUCCCCUUGCAGAGCCACCAUUGCUGAGCUGAGCAGGUCUGGAGGGCAGGGAGGCUUCCCCAAACAGCCUGGUUGCUCCUUUCCUCUGCUCCAGCACCUUGGGGCUCCCUGCCCCUGCUCCCCAAUUCCUGCAGCUGGCAGAGGAGUUGGUCAGUCUGUCUGUCUGUUUCUCCCACUUCGCUGGUGCAGGGAGGAGUGGGGCUGGGGCACCCCAGCAGCAACAUGGGCAGAGGUCAGAAGGUGUCACUCAGCCCUGGGUGCACCAUCUUGCCCAGGGUGCUCCAGACCAAGCUGGCCGGGACUGCCCCUGCUCUGCAGGACCCCACACUCACCCCAUGUCAGCACGGUGGGAGCGGGCACAGCCACGGUGGGACUGGACUGGACACUGGAGUAGGGCGUGGGGAUGCUCUGGGGCAAGGAGUCCUGGAGUGGCCUCAGCGGUGUGAGCAGGAAUCCCGCAGGUCACCACGGCCCUGAGGAUGAACCCACAGCCCCGAGGAUGUCCCCGCUGCCUGUAAUGUCUACUGUGAACAUGGCAAGUGUGCAACCA